rnacentral:rRNA from 1 species
UUAAGUCCCGCAACGAGCGCAACCCUCGACCUUAGUUGCCAGCAUUCAGUUGGGCACUCUAAGGUGACUGCCGGCUAAAAGUCGGAGGAAGGUGGGGAUGACGUCAAAUCAUCAUGCCCCUUAUGACCUGGGCUACACACGUGCUACAAUGGGCGGUACAAAGGGUCGCGAACCCGCGAGGGGGAGCCAAUCCCAAAAAGCCGCUCUCAGUUCGGAUUGCAGGCUGCAACUCGCCUGCAUGAAGCCGGAAUCGCUAGUAAUCGCGGAUCAGCAUGCCGCGGUGAAUACGUUCCCGGGCCUU